AGACGGUGUUGAAAGAGACGUGGUGCCUGUCGAACGUCGGGUUGCCCUGCUCAUCCCUGGUGCUGCCCGUGAAGUGGCGCGCGGUGAGCACGGCGAAGACGAGAACCGCGACAGCAAUCCCGACCUUGCCGAUGCUGGAGGUGAGGGCCUCGAGGCGCUCCUGGAGCGGCGUGGGUUCGGUCUUCUCCCUGGUGAUGCUGCCCAUCAUCUCGCCCCAGGCGGUGUCCGUGCCGACGGCGGUGACGAGCAUGUGGCCGCAUCCGUCGAUGACCUUGACGCCGGAGGCGAGGAACGGGUUCUUCUCGGCGUCGAUGUCGACAGGGUGCGGCUCGCCGGUCAUGCUGGACUCGUCCACCUGCAGCGCGUGGCCCUGCAUGAAGACGCCGUCCGCGGGCACGGCGUCGCCGAUGUUGAGCACGAC
rnacentral:misc_RNA from 1 species